AUUGAGAUAGGUAAAUAUCUCUUAGCUUGGAAAUUUGAAGUAGGCAACUUUCUAAUUACUCCAUCCUGGAUCUAAUUGUCGAAAUAAUUAAAUGCUCCAGCUUGUAAUAUUUUGAAAUGGGCGAAUUUCCAAUUACUCCAACCUGAUUUGUAUGUCGAAAAUAAGUUUAUUAUUGCUCCAGCCUGUAUGCAACAUAUUGGAUUUAAUUUUCCAAUGGGCUGAUUCCAGCCUGGCUCGCGAAAAGAGGAGGGGACGAUUCAAAUAGGCUAUGCUCCAGCCUGGCUCGCAAAAUGAAGAAAAGGCAGAUCCCCUUUCUUUCUUAUCUGGUUCGAACAGAAGAAGAUGGGAGAUAUCCCUAUCUUCCCGUCUCAUUCCCUCCAUCGACAAACAACGACAACCACCUCCGUUUCGCCGACGCCGUUCAGACCCUAGCUCCGCCGGAAGGAGGGUCGUUGCGGUGGCGGUCGCAUCUGCCUCGAAGAGCGAAGAUUGGCAGCGAUUGGUGCCUAGGGUUUCAGGCGCGGCUUCGUGGCUACGAUUGUUGGGUGAGGACCGGCCAGGAGGCGGCGCCCUUCGCCGGAUAUUCGAAGGAGAAGGGUUUGUUUGCUGGAUCUGUGGGUUUUUUUUUUUUUUUUUUGCGCCGCCACUCGAUUGACGGCGGUGGUAACUGAGAUGGAGAGGGAGUCGAGAGAGAGGGGUGAGACCGAGCGACGAUUUCACCGGAGAUAGAAACUGGAAGGGGUGUCCCUCUUUCUUUCUGAGUAUUAUCAGAACUUGAUGUGGCUUGAUUUUGCAUGCAAUGUUGCCGGAGUUUGGAGAGUGGGAAGAGAAGAGAUGAAUUAGGGCGGCAAGUCGGACAAGCUGUGACGACAAAGUCUGUCGCUGCUCGAUUCGAGAAGAGGUGAAUUUGGCCGCGCACGCUUGCUAGGGAGAUGAGAUGGUGAGAGGAGGCAACGACAAUUGCGAUUUGGGGCCUAAAGCUCUCAGGCGGCGUCGCGGUGGUUGCGUGGUGUCGUCGGUGGCAGUUUCUAUUUUGCGAGAUGAGAGAGACAGAGCUGGGGGAGCCAAACCCGGCGGCUCUCUGGGGCAAAUCAUGCUAUAAUUUCUUAUAUCUUUUGGAAUUCUUAUAAUUUAAGAUAAAUUUGAGUGAGGAGCUCUCGGUGGAUUCAAUUGGGAAGCUUUUGUUGGUAGAUAUGCAUCUUCAGGGGUUUGUCUAAGGAGGGGGCCUAUCGGCUUGUCUUUUGAUAUUGCUGGGAAGAUCGACUGGUUUCUAAGCUUUAGCGAAGAAGAGCAUCAUUUCUGCAAUAUUGUGACCGAGGCGAACUUAUGAGUUAGUUCUUUGUGGAGACGCGUUCCCGCAGAUCACAGGAUGUCGAAGCCAUAUGUUCCACCACUGCUUGAGAAGGGCGCUGCCAUGGAGGUGAUCCGUGAUUGAAGGAAAAAGGCUGCCAGCUCGAGUGGCGCGGUUACGGAUGAUGUUGCUACAGUGUGUACUUCGUGAUCGUCUCCUGCUCCAGCCCGAAAAAAAGGGAAAGAGGUCUGCUGAAGUCGACCUGACUCUGUCCGAUCAAGUGGAUGAUUGCAUCAACUUGUCAUUUCUAAACGUGUUGGCACAUUCCCAGCCUGGAUCUGUCCGUGGAGUGGCCAAACAGUUACUACUCCCAAGUGACAGAGGUUUCUUGAGAAAGAAGGGGGAUGGAAGUGUUGCUAGUGAGCUCUUUGAUCAAACCUUUUUGAGUUUGCAGAAAGUUGUCUUCCUUAAGGAAAGAACUCUCGCGAUGGUGGCGGAGCUUAAUGAGUUGAGGGCUGAAUGAGUAAGUUGGCAAGACAAGAUGGCAGCCGUCAAGAAGGCGCAUGAUGAGGCCAAUAAGAUUGUCAAGAAAAUUGGAGUCUGCCAAGCUGGAAGACGUUCGUCGGCUGAAGCGGGCUGCAGCAAAUUGCAAGGAUCUCGAAGUUAAGGUUGUUGCGUUAGAGUAACGAAUCCUUUAUAACAGUUGUGAGACGGAGGUCCGCGUUCGGGGCGAAAUGGCCCUGGCAUAUCUUGAGAACCAGCCCCCCAAGAUUUGGGAUGUCCAACAACACGUAGAUGAAUUUAAUGAGUGGAGGGCUGGCAAGGAAGAGCAGGAGGCGGUGUUAGCUAGCAACUUCGCCAGGAUGACCACCGGAGACAACUAUCUUCAGACGGGCGAUUGAUUCUCUUAGGCAGAGAAGGGAUUUUGUUGUUUGUUUGCUUGUUAUUAUUAUUUUCUUACGUUGCACUAUUUUAGACUUGACUAUUUAGCCGGCCUCCUGUGUCAGCGUAUGCGUGCUUUAUAUCCAGCUUGGACUUCAGACCAUUGGGUCCGUUUGAGCUCUCUAUCUUUUUAGGAUGUUUCAUUUGUGAAUUUUUGGAAAGUCGACAUUGCUAGAUAUUUGAGAGAUUUGCCUUAUUCUAUAGAUUGAUAUGGUUUGUUGAUAUCUUGUAUCACCAUUUCGCA